AGACCCGAAACCCGGUGAUCUAGCCAUGGGCAGGUUGAAGGUUGGGUAACACUAACUGGAGGACCGAACCGACUAAUGUUGAAAAAUUAGCGGAUGACCUGUGGCUGGGGGUGAAAGGCCAAUCAAACCGGGAGAUAGCUGGUUCUCCCCGAAAGCUAUUUAGGUAGCGCCUCGUGAACUCAUCUCCGGGGGUAGAGCACUGUUUCGGCUAGGGGGCCAUCCCGGCUUACCAACCCGAUGCAAACUGCGAAUACCGGAGAAUGUUAUCACGGGAGACACACGGCGGGUGCUAACGUCCGUCGUGAAGAGGGAAACAACCCAGACCGCCAGCUAAGGUCCCAAAGUCAUGGUUAAGUGGGAAACGAUGUGGGAAGGCCCAGACAGCCAGGAUGUUGGCUUAGAAGCAGCCAUCAUUUAAAGAAAGCGUAAUAGCUCACUGGUCGAGUCGGCCUGCGCGGAAGAUGUAACGGGGCUAAACCAUGCACCGAAGCUGCGGCAGCGACACUGUGUGUUGUUGGGUAGGGGAGCGUUCUGUAAGCCUGCGAAGGUGGCCUGUGAGGGUUGCUGGAGGUAUCAGAAGUGCGAAUGCUGACAUAAGUAACGAUAAAGCGGGUGAAAAGCCCGCUCGCCGGAAGACCAAGGGUUCCUGUCCAACGUUAAUCGGGGCAGGGUGAGUCGACCCCUAAGGCGAGGCCGAAAGGCGUAGUCGAUGGGAAACGGGUUAAUAUUCCCGUACUUGGUGUUACUGCGAAGGGGGGACGGAGAAGGCUAUGUUGGCCGGGCGACGGUUGUCCCGGUUUAAGCGUGUAGGCUGGUUUUCCAGGCAAAUCCGGAAAAUCAAGGCUGAGGCGUGACGACGAGGCACUACGGUGCUGAAGCAACAAAUGCCCUGCUUCCAGGAAAAGCCUCUAAGCAUCAGGUAACAUCAAAUCGUACCCCAAACCGACACAGGUGGUCAGGUAGAGAAUACCAAGGCGCUUGAGAGAACUCGGGUGAAGGAACUAGGCAAAAUGGUGCCGUAACUUCGGGAGAAGGCACGCUGACAUGUAGGUGAAGUGAUUUACUCAUGGAGCUGAAGUCAGUCGAAGAUACCAGCUGGCUGCAACUGUUUAUUAAAAACACAGCACUGUGCAAACACGAAAGUGGACGUAUACGGUGUGACGCCUGCCCGGUGCCGGAAGGUUAAUUGAUGGGGUCAGCGCAAGCGAAGCUCCUGAUCGAAGCCCCGGUAAACGGCGGCCGUAACUAUAACGGUCCUAAGGUAGCGAAAUUCCUUGUCGGGUAAGUUCCGACCUGCACGAAUGGCGUAAUGAUGGCCAGGCUGUCUCCACCCGAGACUCAGUGAAAUUGAACUCGCUGUGAAGAUGCAGUGUACCCGCGGCAAGACGGAAAGACCCCGUGAACCUUUACUAUAGCUUGACACUGAACAUUGAGCCUUGAUGUGUAGGAUAGGUGGGAGGCUUUGAAGUGUGGACGCCAGUCUGCAUGGAGCCGGCCUUGAAAUACCACCCUUUAAUGUUU
rnacentral:rRNA from 1 species